rnacentral:rRNA from 1 species
GCGAAGAACCUUACCUGGGUUUGAACUUCAGUGGUAAGGCUCAGAGAUGAGCCCCUCCCUUCGGGGAUCGCUGGAGAGGUGCUGCAUGGCUGUCGUCAGCUCGUGUCGUGAGAUGUUGGGUUAAGUCCCGCAACGAGCGCAACCCUUGUCCAUAGUUACUAACGGGUAAUGCCGAGAACUCUAUGGAGACUGCCGGUGAUAAACCGGAGGAAGGUGGGGAUGACGUCAAGUCCUCAUGGCCUUUAUGUCCAGGGCUACACACGUGCUACAAUGGACGGCACAAAGAGUCGCAAUACCGCAAGGUUGUGCUAAUCUCAAAAAACCGUUCUCAGUUCGGAUUGCAGUCUGCAACUCGACUGCAUGAAGCUGGAAUCGCUAGUAAUCGCGGAUCAGCACGCCGCGGUGAAUACGUUCCCGGGUCUUGUACACACCGA